rfam:Picea glauca, whole genome shotgun sequence.
GUUACGAUGGCCGAGUGGUCUAAGGUGCCAGACUCAGGUUUUGGUCCUCGACUGAGGGCGUGGGUUCAAAUCCCACUUCUGACA